AGGACAUAGUGUGUGUUAGACUUGAAGAUUUGUGUAGUUCCUAACUUGGGCUUAUCGAACAAAUUCCUGAAUUCUGAGACGAAAUGUAGCUGAAUGGCUUGUGCAAUGGACAAUCGACUCGUGCAAUGGACAGGUUUUCACAUUUCUUGUGUACUGUCGACAGGGUGCUUUCUUCCUCCAUCUAUUCGUAAGUGUGGGGAUUCCCCCUCUGUACAGCUUACAGCUUGGGUGUCCAACGGUCCGUAAUCAACAGUCACCCGCACUCCAAGUCUGCAAAAACCUCUGGUCUAGUUCACGUACCGACUUCACAGUUUAUCUUGCCCUCUCCUUCUCAAUAAACCAAUCUCAGUGCUCUGGAUCUGAUUAAACUAAUGUUGUAUCUCGGUCGUGUCUUCUGCUCAUCUCACAUCCCUCGGACCCUGCAGACACCAAACCUCCGACGUCUUACGUCAUAUCCUCUCCUCCCAUCAUGCAACGGACAAGCAUGUUUGUUUGAUUAGUGAUUUGGAAUUCUGUCCAUGGCAACAAAAGAAGGAGAUGACUAUUGGGGAAAAAUGAUUGAAGGUUAGGGGAAAGUACCUAAAUUUAAAUUUUACUCAGAUAUCAAAUGAGAAGUGACCGAUAGAGGUCAUUUGAUCUUUGAACCAAUAUUGGAAAAAUGUGCUUCUCUUUGUACUGCAAAAUAUACACAGAAUAUUUAGAUUAUAUUUGUAUUAUUAUAUAUUUUGUAGAACACUGAUUGGCCCAUUUUCACAUCCUUGUGGUUCAUGUGUUUCAUUUCAUCCCAAAUCUUUUUCGUUAAUGAAAUUCAGCCUUCCCAAAUUGCCACUUUUUAAUAUCACAGUGUUUCGGCCAACACUAUUUUUUUCAGUGUGACAUGUCUA